UCGGGUGUGAGUAGAGCGGCGCACGGGUGAGUAACACGUGAGUAAUCUGCCCCGAGGUGGGGGAUAACUGCUGGAAACGGCAGCUAAUACCGCAUAUAGCCCCAUGGGCGUAGGUCUUUGGGGGCAAAGAGGGCUUUCGGGCUCUCGCCUCGGGAUGAGCUCGCGGCCCAUUAGCUAGUUGGUGAGGUAAUGGCUCACCAAGGCCAAGAUGGGUAGCUGGUCUGAGAGGAUGAUCAGCCACACUGGGACUGAGACACGGCCCAGACUCCUACGGGAGGCAGCAGUGGGGAAUAUUGCGCAAUGGACGAAAGUCUGACGCAGCAACGCCGCGUGGGUGACGAAGGCCUUUGGGUCGUAAAGCCCUGUCAGGAGGGAAGAACCGUCGGGAUGCUCAUACCAUCCCGGCCUGACGGUACCUCCAAAGGAAGCACCGGCUAACUCCGUGCCAGCAGCCGCGGUAA
rnacentral:rRNA from 1 species